UGGGGAAUAUUGCACAAUGGGCGCAAGCCUGAUGCAGCCAUGCCGCGUGUAUGAAGAAGGCCUUCGGGUUGUAAAGUACUUUCAGCGGGGAGGAAGGGAGUAAAGUUAAUACCUUUGCUCAUUGACGUUACCCGCAGAAGAAGCACCGGCUAACUCCGUGCCAGCAGCCGCGGUAAUACGGAGGGUGCAAGCGUUAAUCGGAAUUACUGGGCGUAAAGCGCACGCAGGCGGUUUGUUAAGUCAGAUGUGAAAUCCCCGGGCUCAACCUGGGAACUGCAGCUGAUACUGGAAAGCUUGAGUCUCGUAGAGGUGGGUAGAAUUCCAGGUGUAGCGGUGAAAUGCGUAGAGAUCUGGAGGAAUACCGGUGGCGAAGGCGGCCCCCUGGACGAAGACUGACGCUCAGGUGCGAAAGCGUGGGGAGCAAACAGG
rnacentral:rRNA from 1 species